rnacentral:rRNA from 1 species
UACGUAGGGUGCGAGCGUUGUCCGGAAUUAUUGGGCGUAAAGAGCUCGUAGGCGGUCUGUCGCGUCGGUCGUGAAAACUUGGGGCUUAACCCUGAGCUUGCGGUCGAUACGGGCAUGACUGGAGUUCGGCAGGGGAGACUGGAAUUCCUGGUGUAGCAGUGAAAUGCGCAGAUAUCAGAAGGAACAUCAGUGGCGAAGGCGGCUUCCUGGACCAAUACUGACGAUCAGGUGCGAAAGCGUGGGGAGCAAACAGG